GGGGAAUAUUGGACAAUGGGGGGAACCCUGAUCCAGCCAUGCCGCGUGUGUGAAGAAGGCCUUUUGGUUGUAAAGCACUUUAAGCGAGGAGGAGGCGCCCUAGAUUAAUACUCUAGGAGCGUGGACGUUACUCGCAGAAUAAGCACCGGCUAACUCUGUGCCAGCAGCCGCGGUAAUACAGAGGGUGCGAGCGUUAAUCGGAUUUACUGGGCGUAAAGCGUACGUAGGCGGCUUUUUAAGUCGGAUGUGAAAUCCCUGAGCUUAACUUAGGAAUUGCAGUCGAUACUGGGAAGCUAGAGUAUGGGAGAGGAUGGUAGAAUUCCAGGUGUAGCGGUGAAAUGCGUAGAGAUCUGGAGGAAUACCAAUGGCGAAGGCAGCCAUCCGGCCUAAUACUGACGCUGAGGUACGAAAGCAUGGGGAGCAAAC
rnacentral:rRNA from 1 species